rnacentral:tRNA from 1 species
ACCUGGCUGGCUCAGUCAGUAGAGCGUGAGAUUCUUAAUCUCAGUGUUUUGAGUUUGAGCCCCACAUUGGGUG